CCCGUCUUGAAACACGGACCAAGGAGUCUAAAAUCUUUGCGAGUGUUUGGGUGUCAAACCCACACCGCGUAAUGAAAGUGAACGGAGGUGGGAACCCUUCCGGGCGCACCAUCGACCGAUCCUGAUGUCUUCGGAUGGAUUUGAGUAUGAGCAUAGCCGUUACGACCCGAAAGACGGUGAACUACACAUGGAUAGGGUGAAGCCAGAGGAAACUCUGGUGGAGGCUCGCAGCGGUUCUGACGUGCAAAUCGAUCGUCAAAUCAGUGUGUAGGGGCGAAAGACUAAUCGAACCGUCUGGUAGCUGGUUUCGGCCGAAGUUUCCCUCAGGAUAGCAGUAACGUGUUCAGUUUUAUGAGGUAAAGCGAAUGAUUAGAGGCCUUGGGGGCGUAACGCCCUUAACCUAUUCUCAAACUUUAAAUAUGUAAGAAGUCCUUGUUGCUUGGUUGAACGCGGACAUUUGAAUGCACCGUUACUAGUGGGCCAUUUUUGGUAAGCAGAACUGGCGAUGCGGGAUGAACCGAACGUGAGGUUAAGGUGCCGGAAUGCACGCUCAUCAGACACCACAAAAAGUGUUAAUUCAUCCAGACAGCCGGACGGUGGCCAUGGAAGUCGGAACCCGCUAAGGAGUGUGAGCGUCGGCGUGCCUCAUCUUAGAUUCUUUAAAUCUAAUAUCACAACGCAAAUUUGUACGUUUUUACAUGCUCCUGAGAGUUUGUGGUGAACUAGAGUUGAUGGAUUGAAGUCUUGACUCGUCCAGCACUCAAUCGUUCUAAAGUCGUGGAGGGGUGGCGGCAGCUGCACAUCACGAGCCUGGUUUAUCUUGACUGAUGGGCAGGUUGACAGACUAAACAGAACGGGUCCCCCUGGGACUGUAAUAUAGUCGUCCUCGAAACCUAAAGGUUUCGGCGUCGGAUAGGGGGCUGCUCGCAAGACAGCUGGGGUGAUAUCCCUUCCCCGGUAGGUUGCCCCCUUGAAACCUGGUCCCGGACACAGUAACGUCACUGUGUCAAACUUGGGCUCAGUGGUUUCAUGGUGUUUACAACCCCUGAGUUCUUGGGGUUGUACCUGAUGUGUUCUCGGUUGACUCGAGUCGUUGGGGCGGCUGAUAUCCAACUGGCGGUGUAAAAACCCACCGGCCGAAUGAACUAGCCUUGAAAAUGGAUGGCGCUCAAGCGUGCUACCCAUACCUCACCGCCAGGGUAGAAUCGAAGCCCUGGCGAGUAGGCCGACGUGGAGG
rnacentral:rRNA from 1 species